rnacentral:rRNA from 1 species
CUACGUGCCAGCAGCCGCGGUAAUACGGAAGGUCCAGGCGUUAUCCGGAUUUAUUGGGUUUAAAGGGAGCGUAGGCUGGAGAUUAAGUGUGUUGUGAAAUGUAGACGCUCAACGUCUGAAUUGCAGCGCAUACUGGUUUCCUUGAGUACGCACAACGUUGGCGGAAUUCGUCGUGUAGCGGUGAAAUGCUUAGAUAUGACGAAGAACUCCGAUUGCGAAGGCAGCUGACGGGAGCGCAACUGACGCUUAAGCUCGAAGGUGCGGGUAUCAAACAGGAUUAGAUACCCUGGUAGUCCGCACAGUAAACGAUGGAUGCCCGCUGUUGGUACCUGGUAUCAGCGGCUAAGCGAAAGCAUUAAGCAUCCCACCUGGGGAGUACGCCGGCAACGGUGAAACUCAAAGGAAUUGACGGGGGCCCGCACAAGCGGAGGAGCAUGUGGUUUAAUUCGAUGAUACGCGAGGAACCUUACCCGGGCUUGAAUUGCAGAGGAAGGAUUUAGAGAUA